rnacentral:misc_RNA from 1 species
GAACACAGGUUUUUCAGGGUGCUUGCAUGACACUGGGAAGACUCACCUGGCGCUGGCCCGGGUGAAGUCGCAUUGAGAAAUUCGCACCUUGCGGUGACAGAUAAAGGAAAAAACCUCGGGAGCUGAACGGUGUUUUCAGCGGGGUUUUCUCGGGUGUUUGCGCGGGUCGG